rnacentral:lncRNA from 1 species
UAGAUAGACUGGUAGAGUCUCACAGUUACUACUUUAAGCAGCAGAUGAAAGCAUACAAAAGCCUUCAGGCAUAUAAAAACCUUCACAACUGGAUUUGUUUUGAAACAUUGAUGUUUUGAUGAUUUCUAUAUUAUUGUUGGAAAGGUGAAAAAUUCCCAAAAAGCUAAUGCUAAACCGCUAGAUGCUUCGGUGAAUAGUCAGUUCCAAUGGCAUAGCAAAUGCACAUUGUAUGUGUAUGGCCAGUAAUAGUGAAAUUUGCAGCCAUAUUGCAGCAAUCUUAUUUGCAGCUGAGUAUGCCCACAGCAA